GAUGAACGCUGGCGGCGUGCCUAAUACAUGCAAGUCGAGCGAACGGACGAUAAUCUUGCUUUUCUGAUGUUAGCGGCGCGCGUGUGAAUAACACGUGUAUAAUGUCCCUAUAAUACUGGUAUAACUUCGGGAAUCCGGAUCUAAUACCAGAUAAUAUUUUGAACCACAUUGUUCAAAAGUGAAUGACGGUCGUGCGGGCACUUAUAGAUGGUUCCGCGCUUCAUUAGCUAGUUGGUAAGUUCACGGCUUAUCAAGGCAACGAUGCAUAGCCGACCUGAGAGGGUGAGCGGCCCUGAUGGAACUGAGACACGGAUCAGAAUCCAACGAGAGGCAGCAGUAGGGAAUCAUCCGCCAGGGGCGAAAGUCGGACGGAGCAACGCAGCGUGAGUGAUGAAGGUCGUCGGAUCGUAAAACUCUGUCAUUAGGGAAGAACAUAUGUGUAAGUAACUGUGCACAUCUUGACGGAACCGAAUCAGAAAGCCACGGCUAAAUACG
rnacentral:rRNA from 1 species